rnacentral:tRNA from 1 species
AAUUUAAUAGUUUAUAAAAAAUAUAAAAUUGCAAGUUUUAAGAAGUUGACCUAAACUUAAAUUU